rnacentral:rRNA from 1 species
GACGAACGCUGGCGGCGUGCCUAAUACAUGCAAGUUGAGCGCUGAAGGUUGGUACUUGUACCGACUGGAUGAGCAGCGAACGGGUGAGUAACGCGUGGGGAAUCUGCCUUUGAGCGGGGGACAACGUUUGGAAACGAAUGCUAAUACCGCAUAAAAACUUUAAACACAAGUUUUAAGUUUGAAAGAUGCAAUUGCAUCACUCAAAGAUGAUCCCGCGUUGUAUUAGCUAGUUGGUGAGGUAAAGGCUCACCAAGGCGAUGAUACAUAGCCGACCUGAGAGGGUGAUCGGCCACAUUGGGACUGAGACACGGCCCAAACUCCUACGGGAGGCAGCAGUAGGGAAUCUUCGGCAAUGGACGAAAGUCUGACCGAGCAACGCCGCGUGAGUGAAGAAGGUUUUCGGAUCGUAAAACUCUGUUGGUAGAGAAGAACGUUGGUGAGAGUGGAAAGCUCAUCAAGUGACGGUAACUACCCAGAAAGGGACGGCUAACUACGUG